rnacentral:lncRNA from 1 species
CUACGUAGCUGCUACGAUAUUGAACGCAACCCUGAAAAGGGUCGUGAUAGUUUCCAUAAUUAUCGAAACGGAUACAUGGAAAUAUUACUUUAUAGGAUUGUGCAAAUCUUGCCUUCGUAUAUGGUUUUCAUGAUAUUAAUUAUUAAUGAGUCUGUUUAAUAAAUGUUGUUUGUUUUACGUCCUGUGGCAAAUAUUUCAUGUAUGUUCAUAACGAGAACACAUUAAUUAUACAUACAAUAGGUAGGCUUUUCAUAGCAAAUAUAAAAGGUCGACUGAGAGAAUGGACAUGGAACUUGGAAUGGUAAUGCAAAAUGAGGAUAUAUUGAAUAAAAAACAGAACUGCCUCAAUUAAUUGUGCAAGAGUACCAAAUGUGCAGAAGUCUUCCGUGCAUGAAAUCUAUGCUUAAAUCGACCAUCGUUUUUCAAGUACAGUUUUCAAUAAUAUCAAUUGGUUAAAUGCAUUUUGAUGGCUUAAAUAAAAGGGAGAGUUCUUUUAGAUUGGAUUAUUUAUUGCACUUUAGUUUUUUUGGUAUGAUACUAUAUUUUUCUGACAGCUUCAGAUUUCUCUUGGUUAUGUUUUUGCACUUAGUGCGGGAAAUCGUGGGUUCAAAUCCCGGCCUGGUCAAUCCAAAUACGUCAACAUUUAAAAUUGCUGUUCCUCCGCUAAGCAAGUGGAAUUAAUAAUUUAAUUACACCUCUCCUCCAUUACAUGAUAUAUCUGUAAAAAAAGACUGGUAUGCUCGAGUGGCUAAAUGAUGUCUUAAUGCGGAGUGUUACCUUGUGAACUAGCA